rnacentral:rRNA from 1 species
UACGUAGGGAGCAAGCGUUGUCCGGAAUCAUUGGGCGUAAAGCGCGCGUAGGUGGCUUCGUAAGUCCGUUGUGAAAGUCAAAGGCUCAACCUUUGAAAGCCGAUGGAUACUGCGGAGCUAGAGUACGGAAGAGGCGAGUGGAAUUCCUGGUGUAGCGGUGGAAUGCGCAGAUAUCAGGAGGAACACCAAUAGCGAAGGCAGCUCGCUGGGACGUUACUGACACUGAGGCACGAAAGCGUGGGGAGCAAACAGG